rnacentral:lncRNA from 1 species
GAGAAGAAAUGAUGAUAUGUUGCCUAAAAAAGAUAGUGAACAGUUAAAAAGAAAAGAAAAGGAAUGCGGGAAAGAAGUUGAAACAACUCAAACAGACUCUGAAAUCACUGGUCACAGAAUUGAGGACAUAAGGAAAGAAUUUGGAUCAGGUUGUGCAGAAGCGAAGCGAUACCCACAAGCAACUUUCUGAAGAGCAGAAUGCCAGAAUAUUACAAGAUGAGAUUCUGACCAGUAAGCAAAAGGAGGUUGAAGGGGCUCAAAAGAAAAUGAAUUCUGAGAUUUCUCAAAGCCAUAAGAAAGAAAAAGACCUGUUGCAUAAAAAUAGUAUGUUGCAGGAAGAAAUUGCCAUGCUAAGACUGGAACUAGACACAAUAAAACAUCAGAACCAGCUGAAAGAAAAGAAAUAUUUGAAGGAUGUUGAAAGUGUGAAAUAAAAGAAUGACAACCUUCAAAAUAUGAUAAAACUGAAUGAGGAAACAUCAACAAAAAUAGUAUUUCAGUACAGUGGACAGCUUAGCAUUUUGACAGCUG